GGUUGUAUGUCUWAAGGGAAACAGCCCAGAACAAGUGUUAAUAAGGUUCCAAAAUUAUUAUUAAGUGAAAUAAAGGUAGUUUGUGUCCUAAACGGCCAGGAAAUGGGCUUAGAAGCGGCCAUUUUUUAAAGACCUCGUAACAGAGCACUGGUUUCUCCUAAUUAUUAGGGUAAAUUAAGUAUAAGAAGUUAAAAUUUUUAAUUUAGUUUACAUGGAUAUAAGCACCGACGAUACAACGGAUCUAAAUAAUAUACCGAGACCUUGUCCAUAAUUAUAUAUAUAAUGUUUUAUAACCAGAGUAUAUUAAUUAAUUUUAUUUAUAUGCUAUAGAACCACACUAGGGCGGCGCAAACCCGGCUGCUAGUUGCAACAUAUAUACUAGAGUUAAUUUUUCCCUCUAGCAAGUUUUUUUAGCAAAAAGUUAAAAAAGAUCCGAUCCUGGCCUUGCUAAAAGUUAUAUGUUAUAUAUAGUUUUAUGGGGUAGCGGAACAUUGGGUAUACCACACCCUUUUAUUUUAUAAAUAAAAUAAGGUACCCCAAGUGAUAAUGCUGACAUGAGUAACGAUAAAGGGUUUUAAGCAAUAAACUAAAAUAGAUGAUGCUUAAACAUGCCCUCGCCUAAAGCUUAUGGCAUUUAGUUAAAGUAACGGCCUCUAAGUUUAUAUUUUAGUAAACCUAAGGGAUUAAACGAUGAGAAAAUCUAUAAAG
rnacentral:rRNA from 1 species